GAAACACCGGAUCUCAUAUGAUCACAGAAGUUAAGCACCAUCAAGCUUGGUCAAUACCUAGAUGGAUGGCCACUUGGUAAUACCAUGUGAUGUAC